rnacentral:rRNA from 1 species
GACGAACGCUGGCGGCGUGCUUAACACAUGCAAGUCGAACGAAGAGCGAUGGAAGCUUGCUUCUAUCAAUCUUAGUGGCGAACGGGUGAGUAACGCGUAAUCAACCUGCCCUUCAGAGGGGGACAACAGUUGGAAACGACUUCUAAUACCGCAUACGAUCUAAUCUCGGCAUCGAGGAUAGAUGAAAGGUGGCCUCUACAUGUAAGCUAUCACUGAAGGAGGGGAUUGCGUCUGAUUAGCUAGUUGGAGGGGUAACGGCCCACCAAGGCGAUGAUCAGUAGCCGGUCUGAGAGGAUGAACGGCCACAUUGGGACUGAGACACGGCCCAGACUCCUACGGGAGGCAGCAGUGGGGAAUCUUCCGCAAUGGACGAAAGUCUGACGGAGCAACGCCGCGUGAGUGAUGACGGCCUUCGGGUUGUAAAGCUCUGUUAAUCGGGACGAAAGGCCUUCUUGCGAACAGUUAGAAGGAUUGACGGUACCGGAAUAGAAAGCCACGGCUAACUACGUG